UUUGAUAAAAGUGGAUAUUACAUACAUGUAUAGAUGCUUAGCCAAUCAGUCACUAGGCUUGUGAAUAUGGAAUCCGGAUGCUAACAAGAUUUAAGACGAGCUGUAUGAAAAAAUCAAACAAUUGUGCAAGGAAAGUUUGAAGUGUUUGUUGGAAUGAUCAACAUCGAAAUUGCUGAGCCUUCGUUCUAAAAGUGAAUCCGUUCAUGACGCCAAUUAUCUGUCAACCCUCUAUUGCAAAUUUCAUGGGAUAUCUGUGAGGAAGUGAUUCUAGCAACAUGUCAGAAGUUUUGGAUCUUCCACAAUUGUGAUCUUUGGCACGUACAUUGGGGAAAAAUAGCAACUGUUAAUUUUAUGGGAUCUUUGUAUCAAUGUAGUUAUGUGGUACAUAUAUUUUUGCAUUUACUACAUGUGUUUGUCACUCUAGUCACUAACUUUGUACAGUAAAUUUAUAUGGGCCACUGGCAGUUUAUUGUAAAUGUAUAUCCUGUUGAGGUUUCAAUGACCUCUCCCAAUCCUUGGCCAAUGUCAUUUAAUGAAUCUUACCUCUUAUUUUUUU